rnacentral:piRNA from 1 species
UCAUACCUGUGACCACAAGAAGUUGACAAGGG